rnacentral:rRNA from 1 species
UACGUAGGGAGCAAGCGUUGUCCGGAAUCAUUGGGCGUAAAGCGCGCGUAGGCGGCCUCAUAAGUCCGUUGUGAAAGUCAAAGGCUCAACCUUUGAAAGCCGAUGGAUACUGUGAGGCUAGAGUCCGGAAGAGGCGAGUGGAAUUCCUGGUGUAGCGGUAAUGCGCAGAUAUCAGGAGGAACACCAAUAGCGAAGGCAGCUCGCUGGGACGGUACUGACGCUAAGGCGCGAAAGCGUGGGGAGCGAACAGG